GACGAACGCUGGCGGCGUGCUUAACACAUGCAAGUCGAACGGAAAGGCCCUGCUUUUGUGGGGUGCUCGAGUGGCGAACGGGUGAGUAACACGUGAGUAACCUGCCCUUGACUUUGGGAUAACUUCAGGAAACUGGGGCUAAUACUGGAUAGGAGCUCCUGCUGCAUGGUGGGGGUUGGAAAGUUUCGGCGGUUGGGGAUGGACUCGCGGCUUAUCAGCUUGUUGGUGGGGUAGUGGCUUACCAAGGCUUUGACGGGUAGCCGGCCUGAGAGGGUGACCGGCCACAUUGGGACUGAGAUACGGCCCAGACUCCUACGGGAGGCAGCAGUGGGGAAUAUUGCACAAUGGGCGGAAGCCUGAUGCAGCAACGCCGCGUGCGGGAUGACGGCCUUCGGGUUGUAAACCGCUUCCGCCUGUGACGAAGCGUGAGUGACGGUAAUGGGUAAAGAAGCACCGGCUAACUACGUG
rnacentral:rRNA from 1 species